rnacentral:rRNA from 1 species
CUUUCUUUGCUGGCGACCGGCGCACGGGUGAGUAACACGUAUCCAACCUGCCCUUUACUCGGGGAUAGCCUUUCGAAAGAAAGAUUAAUACCCGAUAGUAUAAUGAUUCCGCAUGGUUUCAUUAUUAAAGGAUUCCGGUAAAGGAUGGGGAUGCGUUCCAUUAGGUUGUUGGUGAGGUAACGGCUCACCAAGCCUUCGAUGGAUAGGGGUUCUGAGAGGAAGGUCCCCCACAUUGGAACUGAGACACGGUCUAA